rnacentral:lncRNA from 1 species
AGAAAAAGUACAAAUAUAUUUUGGAAAAAAAAAAUAUUAAAUUUAUAAAAUAAUCCCACACGCAAAGCCAUGGGAAAAUCUGACAUCUACAAAAUAGACAGAAAAGAGCUGCAGAAUGGGGAGGGAGAGGAUAAGAAAAAAAAAAAAGCACAUUUUACAUUCAGUGAUCAAGCACCUCCCCCCAAGCCUAUUACUAUGAUUCACAAAGAUGCGCUGAAGUAUAGAAGGAAGCACAGAUAUAAUAAGAUUUCUACCUGAGUUUGCCGUAAGGUAAAUACAAUCAUUGAGAAGGAGGUCUAAGACCAAUUAGAGACAAACACACAAAGAGGUAUAUUUUCUUUAAAAAAUUUAAAACAAACUCCAUCUUUUAGAACCACUAGCGGUUAACCCCUUCAGUUUCUGAGUUAGCCAGAGUAACUCCAGCACCAGAUUGAUACAAACCAACAUAAUGUCAAUCUGAUACUUGAACCCGUACAUUUCAAUUUAAUCCCAUUUUUAACUCCAAGAGAUAACUUUCCCAUGGGUUGUUGGUGGGCAGUUAUUUUUUUUUCUUCUUUAUUUUACCACAACUAUGAUAAAGAUACAACCCCUCCCCACUUUCAUUAAGUUUAUAAUAGGAAAGAACAGGAGUCAAUUAAUUUAAAUAAUUCAGAUAUCAUUUAUAGGUAACCACCUAUUACCUACAGAAGUAGAUCCCAUUCUGAACUGUGCAUUCAAAUAGCACAUAUGCAUUAGGUAAAUUAUUAAAAUUAUAUUUUCUAUAAAACAAAAAAAUCCAUCUAUUAGUCAUGAAAAAAAAAAACAAUCGACAAAGUAGGUUUGUUCAUAAAAAUAUAAAAAAUACAAUCACAAUGUCAUACAUUUCUUUUGAUCCCUUCACACAUGGCAUAGCCUUGUGGUUCUGUAACAAAAAUUAUACCACUACAUGUUUUAGUUUAAGUGUUCACUCAUACAUGCAUGCAAACUGAAUGUUACAAAUCACAUAAAAAAAAUAUAUAUAUCUCUUGCAGAGAAAGACCUACCUAAAAGGUCUGCAGUGGGUAUAAUAAUUCUACAAUAAAACCUCUAGGUGCCAAAAUUAUCCCAACAGUAGAUACAUAUAAUACUGAAGAAAACACACCUUACAUCCCCCCCCCCACCCUCCCCAACAUUUGCAUAAUAUCUAGUAGACACUAUAUGAAAUCUUCUCUGCAGAUUUAUUUUCUGUUUUCCUGAGUACCUACGGGACAUUCCGGGAUUCUUUAUGCAAAAAAAAAUAAAAAAAAAAUUUUUAUUAAAGCAAUACAAUAACUAAAAGUAGACUACUUAUAAAUAGCCUCCCUGCCAAUAUGGUAAUUAUCCUAUCCAGCAGGAAAUGGUAGUUUGAAAAGGUAAAUACUAACGUCCUUGGUUCCAGUCUUUACACAUGAUGGGCACUGUGCUUUACGAAAAGAGGAGCAUGUAUAUAAUUCAGCCUCUUCUGUCCCAUCAUGUAAAGAGUGUGGUACAUGAAUAGUCUAUGAACACAGAUGGAUGAUAUAACCUUUACAGUGCAUGGAGUAAUUUGUUAUUGCAUUGAAAAGGUUACAAAGACAGGAAGAGCUAACUGAGGUAGGAAUGCAGGUUCAUAAUUUGUCACAGAUAUGCAGGUUCAUAAUUUGUCACAGAUCAUCCUAUCAAUCAGAUGAUUUCCCGACAGCACUGCAGUAGUCUCGAUCAGGUUUGGGUUUUUUGGAGGGGGAAAUUUAAUGAGGAAGCAUGGUCAUCUAAAACCUUUAUCCCAAAAGAUUAUAAAAAGGCGACACUUUGAUAAUCCAUGGGGCGAAAAUGAUUGAGAAAACAAGACAAAACAACAAUGCAAUUUUUCUUUAGACAUAAUUGCCAGUGGUUUGUUUUUUUGCAGAAUUUUUAACGGUUUAAAAUUACCCUUUGUAUCCAGAGUAAAAGAAAGGAGUUCAACAAUGUGAAAAGAAUUGCUCUACCCUUCUGGCACUCAAAAGGUUAAACACAUCUUAAUACUUAAUUUUUGGCACCUAUUAAGAUGAUCUAAAGAUUUGGCAGCACAAAAAAGUUUAAUAUUUUAUCUUUUGCAUUUUUCAAACAUACCUUAUUGGUACUAAACUCUGCUUUAGCUAGACAUUAGUGUUUAGUGACAAGAGUAAUAUGUCACUAUCUACAGCCAAAGGCAGGACAGACCCAGUACAGUCCCUCCUUAUAGAGCAAAGCUUCUAUACGGUUUGAAACAAGAACCACAACUAAUAACAUGGAUUUUAUAUUGGCCCAAAGGUUUACUCUCCCCAUGUCUUCCUAGGACGCAUGGGAAACCUGCUAAUUUAAGCACCGGAUUUUAAUAUUCUUUAGAACAGGUCAUUGCACGCAUGGUAUUAUCAACAUAUUGGCAAAUGUAACAUGCAAUGCACCAAUACGGGCUUAUAUCGCAAGGAUAUUAAACAGUUCUAUAGGAAUCCAUUUUAUAAACCGUCUGCAAACACAAUUUCAAUCUAAACAGCUGUUCAUAUAUUUAUGUUAGCAUACCAAUAUCUUGCCUAUGCAAUACUGUGGCUCUGCUAAUUUAAAAAGAUCACUUUUAUUGAAAUUAUUUGAUCUGAAAUAUUACUUUAGAGAUUUACAUUUUCUUUCCUUUUUACAAUCAGUCUUUGGAUUUUGGAUUUUUUUUUUUUUUAUCCCUUUGUUCCAGUUAAUCUAAUGAUUUAGUCAUUGUUUAGUUACAAAACUACAAAAAAAAAAAAAAAAAAGACUGCAGAGCGCAUGUGAUGCUAGCAGGAAAUCUUAACCUGGGAUGAGAAAUGUAUCUCCCAAUUUUACUUCACAAGGGAUGAAAUGCAGUGUUAGACUUCUAGUGGGAUUUCGGCGUUAUCAGGCAGUUCUAAAUUAAUCCUGUUUUUUUUAUUUGGUAAAACCAAACCAAAAUGCUGCUCAACAGAUUAAAAACCAGGACAGUUUGUUUUCUUUAAAGUGCUAUAUGGUGGUGCAAACUAAAUUGCUAACUACAGAGCCACAUUAAGCGCGGAGGUAUCAAAUAUUUACUUUAAAUCUGAAAUUACAUAUUAGAGGGGGAGUGGGGAAAUAAAAAUUAUGGGGGAGGGGCAAAUAUA